GUGUACUUGACAAACCACGGAAAUGAGAUUUUUGAUGACGAGUGUAUGAAUUCAUUAGAAGAAGCUAAGAAGCUGGCCAUAUCCGGCGUAUUGGCAGAGUUGUUCUCGAAGCAAAUGGUAUAUUCAGAAACCCUACAUUAGUAAGAGAGAUUAAAGAAUCAAAUAUUUCCCUCCUUACUUAUGGCAAAUUAAACAGUGUCCCCGAAGCGAUACAUGCUCAAUAUCUUAUGGGCGUAAUCGUUGAUUUAGUACAAGAAAUCACAAGUGCAGUUGCGUGUUUCAAUAACGGAGAUGAAGGAGCGGAGGUGAAAGAGAACACAAACAAGAUUGAACUUUCUUCUUUGCUGAAUUUGGUAUAACAAGUGAUGCAGCAUUGAAGUUCGGUACAUUCGAGUUGGGUCGGGUCGGGUCCGGUCAUUUGUUUAUUAAAUGUAUCCCGUGUGUGAAUUGAGUUUGAUUAGGAUGAUAAGUAGUGGAGUUCUGUUUUUCUUUAAUUUCUUGAUCACUCAAAUGAAGCUGGUUAAAUUUUUCGCA